UGGCUGUGAGAGACAACGGGACAGAUGAGACACACAUGUGUUUAUCUGCUGUAGAGUAACUGAUGAAGUAAUGCUACCAUCAAAGGAUUUGUGUAGUCGUGCUCAUGGGGUGCAGGCACACGAAAGUUUGGAGCAGACACAGCAGUCAGAUUGUCCUGCACGUGUUCCCCUGCUCUAGCUUCAAGGUUGUGUGGUUCAGAGAGCCGUCAUCAAGAUCUUCCUCAUCCUGUUGUUUAACGACAUCCCCAUUGAGAAGAGUGAGAUUGUGAAGUGCAGCGGCAGAACUGUAUCAGCUGUGUUCAGAUGGCAGGAGGAUGUUGGGUUCACCAUCUGUAAAUACUUGAUUGUUAGAACAAUAAGUUUGAAUGAAGCUUUGUAUCAUGUGUUGUUGACUUUAGAGUAUCAAAUUAACAGUCUUCUCCAAAGAUGAGAUCUUCAAGCAGCUGAUCGAAGUACCCUUUGUGCAGAUAUUGCAGAGUCGCUGUGAGGUGUUUGUGCACCUGACCCACUUUUUAAUUAUAAUUGCCAAAUUAUUACAUAAAAGAUCAUGGUAAGAGGUUGUAUCUGAUAAUAAACAAUCAUAAUGCCAUAAAACAGUAAAUAAAAAA